UAGCUAUGUGGGACCAUGAGAGACUCGCAAAGUUCGUAUACCCCUUCUAGAUCCUGCCCCUUUAGGACCUGCAAUUAACUCAAUUUGGAUUAGGCCCGAAGGCAUUGAAGAUUAAUAGGAGAAGUCAUGUAUCUCAACACCUUUGGACUCUGCCCAUUAUCCAUUGGAGAAUAAUAAAAGAAACUCUUGUAUCUCAAACCUCUGAAUCUUGCCCAAAAACCACAGGAGAAGAACGAUAUAAUCCAACCAAUGAUAUGCAUGGGAAAUCAUAUGAGAAACUAAUGCUAUUAGAACCUUGAGAAGUGCGAGACAAACUAAUUACAAAAUUCAUAGUAAUCCGCUCUUACUUCCACUGUGGGAUAGGUAGCUUCUAAAGAAAUCCACGUGAUCUCAAGUUCUAGGACUCCACCUACUGACAACACAAACAUCGAGAUCUGAAUUCCUCUUUGUCCCUUUUCAUUCCACACCACCAGCAAUGCUGUCUCAGAUCUCUACAUCUUAUAUGCACCAGGAUGAAUGAAUUAUCUAGAGCGAGUCUUUUGCAAUAUCAACAAAAUCAAAUCACCAAUCCUCAAAUAUCAAGACACCCUCUGGGUCCAAGAUUCUGGGAGGCAGCUGCUGUAGCAUUAGACGCUGUAGCACUAUUAAUAAAGGGAGAUGAUGUGCUAGGACCUUUAAUUCUCAAUACAGAAAGGCUAAGUGUGGAUGAUGUAGAAGGCACAAAUAAAGAGCUACUAUGCAGACUAUUAUGAGGAAAAGUGAUGUGGAACUGGUCAGAUGGUAGCGGCAUAAAAAUGCAUUUGGUAGUGAAAUAGUUGACGAGGAGGAGGAGGAAAAUUUGCAGUAUCUGGUGGAGAAGUUGUGGUAAUAGGUGGUGGUGGUGGUGUAUAUUGACCUGCAGGAGGAUUAUCAGGUCCUUUCUUACUUUUCUUACGUUGUCCAUUACCAUUACCCUUUUGCGCCAUUAAUUUUUUUUACUAACCACCUGAAGAAGAAAGAACAACCAAAUUAGAAAACAACCUAUUUUUCA